rnacentral:rRNA from 1 species
AAGUCGUAACAAGGUCUCCGUUGGUGAACCAGCGGAGGGAUCAUUACCGAGUUUUCAACUCCCAAACCCCUGUGAACAUACCAUUUUGUUGCCUCGGCGGUGCCUGUUCCGACAGCCCGCCAGAGGACCCCAAACCCAAAUUUCCUUGAGUGAGUCUUCUGAGUAACCGAUUAAAUUAAUCAAAACUUUCAACAACGGAUCUCUUGGUUCUGGCAUCGAUGAAGAACGCAGCGAAAUGCGAUAAGUAAUGUGAACUGCAGAAUUCAGUGAAUCAUCGAAUCUUUGAACGCACAUUGCGCCCUUUGGUAUUCCGAGGGGCACGCCUGUUCGAGCGUCAUUUAAACCAUCAAGCCCAGCUUGGUCUUGGACGCGGUCGAGUGACCCGUCCGUAACCCGUUGGCGGUGCGGUCCGGCUUCAAGCGUAGCAAGAAUUUCGCUUCAGGAGUCCGCGGCAGUGCCUGCCAGGUAACCACAUCCCAAAGUUUGACCUCGGAUCAGGUGGGGAUACCCGCUGAACUUAA